UACGGAGGGGGCUAGCGUUGUUCGGAAUUACUGGGCGUAAAGGGCGCGUAGGCGGUCCUGUCAGUCAGGCGUGAAAGCCCCGGGCUUAACCUGGGAACUGCGCUUGAUACUGUGGGACUUGAGUCCGAGAGAGGGUGGUGGAAUUUCCAGUGUAGAGGUGAAAUUCGUAGAUAUUGGAAGGAACACCGGUGGCGAAGGCGGCCACCUGGCUCGGUACUGACGCUGAGGCGCGAAAGCGUGGGGAG
rnacentral:rRNA from 1 species